ACAUAUAUUAAAUUUGGAGUGACUAAAUUUGGAACAAUACAGAGAAGAUUAGCAUAGCCCCGGCACAAGGAUGACACACAAAUUCGUGAAGUGUUCCAUAUGUUU